UACGUAGGGUGCGAGCGUUGUCCGGAAUUAUUGGGCGUAAAGAGCUCGUAGGCGGUUUGUCGCGUCUAUCGUGAAAACUGGAGGCUUAACUUUCAGCGUGCGGUGGAUACGGGCAGACUUGAGUUCGGUAGGGGAGACUGGAAUUCCUGGUGUAGCGGUGAGAUGCGCAGAUAUCAGGAGGAACACCGGUGGCGAAGGCGGGUCUCUGGGCCGAUACUGACGCUGAGGAGCGAAAGCGUGGGGAGCGAACAGG
rnacentral:rRNA from 1 species